UAUGCGGGGGUGCCUGCAUGCAGGCUGAGAUAACACCCUUAGAACUUGAACCGGGUCAUGCCGGCGGAAGGAGAC
rnacentral:ncRNA from 1 species